GAAGAGUUCUCGUUUUAUGAAAGUUGGCUAUGAGAGAGAUUUUUUGCGAUACCUGCAGAGCUUACUUGCAGAAGUAGAACGUAGAAUUAGACGAGGCCAUGCUCGUUUGGCAUUAUCUCAAAACCAGCAGUCUUCUGGGGCAGCUGGUCCAACAGGCAAAAAUGAAGAAAAAAUUCAGGUUCUAACAGAUAAAAUUGAUGUACUCCUGCAGCAGAUUGAAGAAUUAGGAUCUGAAGGAAAAGUAGAAGAAGCCCAGGGAAUGAUGAAAUUAGUUGAACAGUUAAAAGAAGAGAGAGAGUUGCUUAGAUCCACGACCU